rnacentral:lncRNA from 1 species
GCCUGCUGCCAACCCGCCCGCCCACAGCAGCCUUACCUUGGUCCUGGAUGUUCUCUUCCAGGAUGGUCCUGGCAUCACUCAGCACCCUCUCUGAGGCAGCGUGGAUUAAUUUAUGAUGGGUUAUACUUUUGGGAUCUUCUAAGCUCCCAUGAGCACACUGGGGAAAAAUAGAAAUUUCAAGGUAGAAAAUAAGUAAAUCGUAAUUCUAAUAAUAUAGGACCUGGCAUCCCAAGCUACACCAGGAAUUUACUGGGUUUUCUUAUGAGCUAAGAAAUUACACCAUGGAUGAAAUUAAAGAAU